GAGUUAAUGAUUACAAAUGUGUAAGAUCAGAAAAGAAAAUGCUGGAAAACAAUACGUUGAUCAAGAGAUGAGAGGUAAACCUUUUUACUCUACUGAAAAUAUCGAGAAAUUUUUACAUAUUGUAUUGGUUUAACUGGAAAUAUCAAAAGACAAGCUAAAAAAUAUGAUAAAUGGCCGCCCACACGUGAUGUCACUUCGCCACAUCCUUCAAGAAACAAGUACAAUAUCAUUUUCAUGAUAAAGCUUUAGACCUUCGUCAGACACAAGCAAUUGCGGUACAAAUGUCUUUAAUAUUUGAAUAAAUAGUUCCAUGUUUAACCCAA